GUGUGUAAGUAGCGAAGAUGCCGAAGGGUAACAACGCGAUCCCCCACGUUCACCAGAAGAAGCACUGGAACCCGUGCUCUUCGCAGAAGGGCAACGUGAAGGUGUUCCUGAACCAGCCGGCUCAGAAGCACCGCCGUCGCCGUCUGCGCCUGCUGAAGGCCAAGAAGGUGUUUCCUCGCCCGCUGAAGGCGCUGCGUCCGCAGGUGAACUGUCCCACGGUGCGCCACAACAUGAAGCGCCGCCUGGGCCGCGGCUUCUCGCCGGCCGAGCUGAAGGCUGCUGGCCUGAACCCCCAGUACGCCGCCACGAUCGGCAUCCGCGUGGACAGUCGCCGGAAGAACAAGUCCGAGGAGGGCAUGAACGUGAACGUGCAGCGCCUGAAGACGUACAUGAGCAAGCUUGUGCUGUUUCCGAUGAACCACAAGAAGGUGCAGAAGGGCGAGGCGUCCGAGGAGGAGGUGAAGGCCGCGACCCAGGACCGCUCGCGCUUCGGCGACGCCGCUGUCGGCGCUGUGGUGUACCCGUCCGCCGAGACCCCACGCGCGGUAUCUGCCGAGGAGAAGUCGAUGUGCGUGUACGCCUUCCUGAAGAAGAACCACUCCGCCGUGCGCUUCUUCGGUGCCCGCAGCGCCCGCGCCGCGCGCAAGGAGGCCGCGAAGGAGGAGAAGGCCGGCAAGUAAACUCGUUCCGAGGGAAGGCGUGCUGGUGUUGCGGCCGCGAUAAGGCGCACGCGUGGGCCUGUAUGCAUGCUAGUGUAAAAGGGUAUCGCUGCCGCUGCAGCAUGCAGACACAUGCCUCACCACGUGGGCACUUUUUGUGGGCAACGUACGUGUACGCUUUUCAUGUGCUUGGGUGUGCGCUACUGUCUCCGCCUUCACUGCAUGGUGGCCCUCUGUGUCGUUAGACAUGCAUCAAGGACUGGGUGUGCCAAUGCAUGCAUGGGCGUGCAUUGCCGUGUGGCACGUCGGCUCUCUCUUCGUAUUUUUCGUUCGCCCUUUUUCGUUUUCUGUUUUCAUUUAUCCGUCAUUCACGUCGAAGCAAUGCAACCCCACAAGAGCAGCCGUCGGGGGGGGGCGGCGGCAGGAAAACGCGCCGCGAAGCUCCGGUUCGCGGGCACUCACGCGCUGAUGUGUCGUGAAUGAUAGCGGCAUGACAGAAGCAUGCGCUGUGACCACACCGAAAGCGAUCGCGGGUCUUUUCCUCUAUCGCUGUCGGCAGUUUCGGUGCACGUGUGUUCGUGAGUGCCCAUCUCUCUCUCGGAGCCUCCGGCUCUCUCUGAAACUGCUUGUUUCCUGCUGCCACACCGCCUCUACACCGACGGGGUCUAUCCUCACGUCAGUAGGGGUGGCAGGCUAGGACACUAGCGGGACGCAGAGGAACCGCCGCUAGGACCAACGAAUGCCUACUGGCUACAGAGAGAGAGAGAUGCGAAACUGCCAACGCUGCCCGCAACCUUCCUAGGAUGGAGAAGCCGAGAGGAAGUAGGGGGUGAGCGGGGAAGGAGAUCUCCGGGGAACGACUCGGCUCUCUCAUCGCCUCCUUCUACGCAGCGAUGGGGACAAGCAUGAAAGGCGAAGACAAGGCCCCCUCUCACGCAACCACACGCCGACAUACCGACGCAGUGACGUUCCGUAUUCACACGCUUGAUUUGCUGCUACUUCCACUUUGUUCUACUUUUCUUUGCUCUCAUUCACUUCGCGUCAUGCGCGCGUGUCUUCAUCUGCCGCGCCUGGCGAACCCGCGUCGUGUCCUCUCUUUCUAUGGUGCUCAUCACCUCCACCUUGCACCUUUCUGCGUUUCCGCACACACACACACACACACGCAUACGCACUUGUGCCGCAUCGCUGACGGCGGCUGCCUGUGCUGACGUACUGCCGUGCGCUUCGCACUCUUUCUUGCUCACUCUUUGGCACCCUCACACACGCGUCACCAUUGACGACUCUUGUGCGCGCCUUCGCUAACCUCAUUCGUGUGCUCUUGCUGUGUGCUAUCUCCUUUUCUUGUCGUUUCUCCCCGUACCUUGCAG
rnacentral:misc_RNA from 1 species